UACGUAGGGGGCAAGCGUUGUCCGGAUUUAUUGGGCGUAAAGAGCGUGUAGGCGGCUAGAUAGGUCCGUUGUGAAAACUCGAGGCUCAACCUCGAGACGUCGAUGGAAACCAUCUGGCUAGAGUCCGGAAGAGGAGAGUGGAAUUCCUGGUGUAGCGGUGAAAUGCGCAGAUAUCAGGAGGAACACCGGUGGCGAAGGCGGCCUGCUGGGCAGUAGCUGACACUGAGGCGCGACAGCGUGGGGAGCAACAGG
rnacentral:rRNA from 1 species